rnacentral:lncRNA from 1 species
AUGUUACGCUAUACUAAUACCUGUAAAAUGUCAGACAGGAGCACCAGCAUCCACAGCAUCCUGAGGAGGAAACAUUACCAGAGGACAGAAAGACUUCUAUUCACCAAAACAAUCAAUAGUUUUGCUUCAGAGGAGAAUCCGACAGUUCCAGAUGUUCGUCACCAGCACUGCAGUGUUUACACAGACUGCUUUGGUUUCAACUUUCUACAAAAAACUGUUGAAUUUUCAACUCACUUUCCAUCUGAAUCCAAGCUCAUCUUCAUCACUGGGAUGUUUCUUCAUCAGUUCUUCGUACAGACUGACACAGCUCACACAUGGAGAAGAUGAUUUAUGGAAUAUGACAUUUAGAUUUUUCCUUUUCUCAACAGUAUGAUGCAUACAUCCCAACCCAAAUUUCAUGCAUUUUUUUGGCUUAACUUGAGCCAAUUUCCAUCAAUAAAUUGCUAAUGUAUUAUUAUUGACUAUUACUA